rnacentral:rRNA from 1 species
CUACGGGAGGCAGCAGUGGGGAAUCUUAGACAAUGGGGGCAACCCUGAUCUAGCCAUGCCGCGUGAGUGAUGAAGGCCUUAGGGUCGUAAAGCUCUUUCGCCUGUGAUGAUAAUGACAGUAGCAGGUAAAGAAACCCCGGCUAACUCCGUGCCAGCAGCCGCGGUAAUACGGAGGGGGUUAGCGUUGUUCGGAAUUACUGGGCGUAAAGCGCGCGUAGGCGGACUGGAAAGUUGGGGGUGAAAUCCCGGGGCUCAACCCCGGAACGGCCUCCAAAACUAUCAGUCUAGAGUUCGAGAGAGGUGAGUGGAAUUCCGAGUGUAGAGGUGAAAUUCGUAGAUAUUCGGAGGAACACCAGUGGCGAAGGCGGCUCACUGGCUCGAUACUGACGCUGAGGUGCGAAAGCGAGGGGAGCAAACAGGAUUAGAUACCCUGGUAGUCCACGCCGUAAACGAUGAAUGCCAGUCGUCAGAGGGCUUGCCCUUUGGUGACACACCUAACGGAUUAAGCAUUCCGCCUGGGGAGUACGGUCGCAAGAUUAAAACUCAAAU